rnacentral:lncRNA from 1 species
UGGUCAAGAUUUUGCUAAAUUGAAAUACACUGAUGCAUAUCUCCUACCAAUUCAGAGGGGUGAAUUCCAUCUUGACUCACACACCGACUUGAUAAGUACUUGACUUGAUAAGUACUGAUCAUCACGUCGCAGCCACACAAAUGUCUGGCCUCUGCGGAUCAUCCACACGAAGCUCCCGUCUGAUCAGCUCCUCACGAAUGCUAGUUCGUGAUUUCACCCUU